rnacentral:misc_RNA from 1 species
AAACAACACUAACAUAUCCAUAGAACCGGCCAGCUACACAACAGCCCUAACAUGAUCCUAGAUGAACAGCUUCUACUGCCUUUACAUGUAUAACCCCGGGUCUUUACAUGUAUAAAGCACACAAUCCAGAACAACACUAAAACUAGAAAGACACAGUUCUCGAUGUUUGCGACUGUGCAUCUUCGUAUUGAUCGACAUCCUCCGGCUUCUCUGGCCUCAAGCAAAGUGGAAUAUAUGCGGUAUAAACAGCUUCCAGAUUCGGACUUUCCUUCAUCUCACGGCACGCCACUGUCAUAGGAGUAUUGCGGAAGGCGGGAUAGAAGGAUGUCUUGCAUACCGAAGCAAAAAUUAAGGACAAUAAUAGAAGGGGCAACACAAGAGGGGCAUAAUAGAAUUCCUUCAAUCCAAUGUAACUGAACAUCGUGAUUUGGUAGAUGACCAGGGCUGCUACGAUC